CGCGAACGCUGGCGGCAGGCCUAACACAUGCAAGUCGAACGGACUCUUUGGGGUUAGUGGCGGACGGGUGAGUAACACGUGGGACCGCGACUUUAUGCUUGGAAUAGUACUCGGAAACGGGUGCUAAUGUCGAAGGUGUCCUUCGGGGGCAAGAUUUCUCGCCUUCAGAGCGGCCCGCGUCUGAUGAGCUAGUUGGUGAGGUAAUGGCGCACCAAUGCCACGAACAGCAGCUGGUCUGAGAGGAUGACCAGCCACAUUGGGACUGGGACACGGCCCAAACAUCUACGGGAGUCAGCAGUGGGGAAUCUUGCGCAAUGGGCGAAAACCUGACGCAGCCAUGCCGCGUGGAUGAUGGAGGUCUUAGGAUUGUAAAAUCCUUUCACCGGUGAAGAUGAUGACUGUAACCGGAGAAGAAGCCCCGGCUAACUUCGUGCCAGCAGCCGCGGUAACAC
rnacentral:rRNA from 1 species